GAUGAACGCUGGCGGCGUGCUUAACACAUGCAAGUCGAACGGAAAGGCUCCUGCUUGCAGGGGUACUCGAGUGGUGAACGGGUGAGUAACACGUGGGUGAUCUGCCCUGCACUUCGGGAUAAGCCUGGGAAACUGGGUCUAAUACCGGAUAGGACGAUGGUUUGGAUGCCAUUGUGGAAAGUUUUUCGGUGUGGGAUGAGCUCGCGGCCUAUCAGCUUGUUGGUGGGGUAAUGGCCUACCAAGGCGUCGACGGGUAGCCGGCCUGAGAGGGUGUACGGCCACAUUGGGACUGAGAUACGGCCCAGACUCCUACGGGAGGCAGCAGUGGGGAAUAUUGCACAAUGGGCGCAAGCCUGAUGCAGCGACGCCGCGUGGGGGAUGACGGCCUUCGGGUUGUAAACUCCUUUCGCUAGGGACGAAGCGCAAGUGACGGUACCUGGAGAAGAAGCACCGGCUAACUACGUG
rnacentral:rRNA from 1 species